UCCGCAGUGCGUUCGCAGAGGAUCGUUGCUGGUGUAAAUAUUGCUGAGGCCGAAAUCUACGAUAGUGGAAGACAUCGUAUCGAUCAAUUUUUCUGCUACUUCUGUGCUACGCAUCGUCAUAUUUUUCUUGCGCGAUUUUGCCGUCGCAAUAUAAUAAAAUCGGGAGUGCCGUUAUAUCGGGACGCGACUCGCGGUAACGUCGCAGUUUGUACAGUUCAGUUCGCUUGCGACGUCGGGAGUGUCGUUUAAAGUAAGUUGCGCGAUUUUCGUAUUCGAGUACGCGCGCGAGCAAGGCGCGCGCCGCGUGUGAGUUAGUGUGAGUGUCUCGAAGGACCGCUGAGCGGAAGAAGAGGCUUAGGAGUUAUUGGACGACAGGAGAGCGACGAUAUGGUUUCCUUGAUCAGUAUUUGCAAUUAGAGACUUACAAUAUUACUAUUUUUGUCUCAAGGAGCCUUUAUUUUCCGAUAUACGAAGACAACAGGCAGCGCCGACCGCGGCGCGCUGCAUGCCGUCGCGCGGCAGCCAAGUCGAUCCCAAGAUGAUCUACUGGAACGCGUUUCAUCGUGCAGCAUCACUUUGUACAUCACGACGAAGGGAGAAAGCUGCAAUGUACCACUGCUACUUUGUACGACGAGCCGCUGGAGAAUACAAGGAACACCGGUGCGAGAACAAUGAGCCAGAGGUUCGAGCGAGUCCGGGAUUAGAGAACUCGCUGCGAAGAGCUGCGUCAGCACGGGAGACUGGACCGGGUUAACGGAGCAGGUACGCCAAUACAACGCUAAACGACCAGCACGAAGAGAGAACGAAGACGGGUUGCGCGCUCGGCCGAGUCCGUGCAGCAUCCCGAGUCCGUGGCCGCACUCCGAUAUUGUAGACACAUGGCGAGGCAUAUGUAGUAUCCUACGUUUGUACGGAUAGGCGUGUAUUGUACGCGCGUUCGUGUGUAACCGAGGCAGACAAGACAUGCACACGCGCCUACGAAGGAAACCUCGGCGCGGCUACGAGCGAGCGAGAUCACCGCGCAACCUCCCGCGGCGCUGGCAACCUGUUUUCUCUCUUCCAGCUGAGUUUAUUUUGAUUUAUUGUGUCGCCGCUAAAGAGAUGUAUUGUUAUGACGUACCCCCGCGGAACCCGCUCGUGAGAGAAGAUUUCUCGAAGGUGGGUGAGAAGAUAGCUGAUAGAGAAAUUGAAAAAUCGAGGGCAUUUCCGACGUCCGCAGUGAAAUUGGACAACGUCGAAAAUUUUGAUACGAACACGAGGUCUGAAAUUAAUUUUAUUCAAGUCCGGGGACUGAUAUUCGUAUUAUUUUAAGUGAAUUUAUUUAAUAAAUUUUUCAAUUCAUGUCCACAACUCUUUAAUGAAGAGAAAAAAUGUAUCGAUAUAAAAACAAUUUCUCAAAUAUCAAUCGUGUGUAUCUGUCAAUUUUACAUUCUCGGAAGUACUUCGCGGAAAUUACCUGAUCGCCCUCAGUGUAAGUCGACGUGCAAAUUACAAAAUACAUAUUUCAAAUUA